CUUGUUAAUGGGUGUCACAAUCUAGUAACAGCCACCUCCCAAGCUCACUUGGCCAGAGACAGUCAACAGCAAACAUUCUGAGCUGCUUCUCCACUUUGAGAGGCUGCAGCCUUGGGACCCCAGGUAGAGAAAGUAUCUGUGAAAGAUUAAGAAGAUGGCUGACUCCAUCCAGAUGCCACAUGACUGUCAUAGACACCCCAGGAACAGUCUCCCCAGGAGUGACCACCAGUGACCUACCAAAAUCAAGGUACCCCAGUAAAAUCUCCCUAAGCCCAAAUACCAAUGGCACAGAAACUGGGAAGAGCAUGGGGCAAGUAUCACCAGGCCCAGAAACACCCAGUAGCUCUGGGCAGGCCUCCCCAGAGUGGGGCACAGAAAACCUAGAGAGUCAAAGUCCAGGGGAGAAGACCGAAGUCACAGCCACCAGCCCCCAAGAGACACUGAGAAGCCUGGUGUACAUCCAUCCAGACCUGGCCGCCACUAUUGGAAACAACUUCACAAAGAGCCUGGCAGAAUUCCAGCCAGUGUAGUCCCUGCAGGAAGUCAGGCCACUCUCGUUGCCUGAGCCCUGCCUGCCUGUUUCCCUGGGCAGCCAAUCCAUCUAUGAUCCCUUCUUCCUGGGCACCUCCACCACCCACCCCUCUACCCAACUGGCCCUGAUUUUGGGAAGAGACAUCAUGGCAAGAUCUCUUGAGGAAUUCCAUCCCUCUUGAGGGCCUGUGUGAUAAAGAUCGAGAUGUGUUGUGUUUGGACAAUAAUCAGCUUUUCACCACACACUGGGUAGAGGAAGAAGGAGACCCAUAUAAUGUGUCACCUCAGUUGGAGUUAGAAGAGGCCAUUAGGCUUUCUGAGCUAAAGAAAGAUUCUGAGCUCUUAAUUCAUUCAUCACCUUGUAUACCAGAACAUCCUAAAGUGCCUUGUCCAGGAGAAGAGAAAUCCAUCCACCACAGAGCUGCAGGCUGCUGGAGAAAGCUGUAUUAUGUGAAUGGCCACACUUUUCAGGCCAAACGCUUCAGCAGGCAAGUUCACUGUGCUGUCUGCACAGACCGUGUAGGGGGACUUGGCCACCAAGUGUGUAAGUGCACCAACUGUAAACUGUCAGUUCGCAAGAAGUGCCACGAACUUGUCACAAUUGAAUGUGGGCAGCAUUCUUUACCAUCAGAGCCCAUGGUGCCAGUUGAUCCAUCAUCCAUGGCUUCAGACCUGCGCACACAGCGAUCCCACAUAACCUUUCAACUCCUGAGGCUUUAGAACAAGUUGAUGAAGAGAAUGAGGCAGGGAACACCGGGGAGGGUGGCAAAGCUUCAUUUGGUUUAGGUCUUGAGGACUUUGAUUUGCUCCGAGUGAUUGGCAGAGGAAGUUAUGGGAAAGUACUGUUAGUCCAACAGAAAGAAUCAAAUCAUAUGUAUGCAAUGAAAGCAGAGAAAAAGAGCAUGUCAACAUUGAUCAGAUACAGAGAGAGAAGCACAUUCUCCAGCAAGCAUCCAAUUGUCCUUUUCUAGUUGGACUGCAUGCUUGCUUCCAGACAGAAAGCAGACUGUUCCUUGUUCUAGACUAUGUCAGUGGGGGAGAUAUACUGUUUCAUGUAACACGGUUUCCUGAAGAACAUGCCAGGUUUUGCUCUGCAGAAAUCAGUUUAGCAGUCAACUACCUUCAUCAGCAAGGAAUACUUUACAGAAUUUUAAAAUUAGAAAAUGUAUUACUUGACUCAGAAGGGCACAUUAAACUCAUCGAUUAUUGCUUGUGUAAGGAAGACUUACAGCCAGGAGACACGACCGCACUUUCUGUGGCACUCCUGAUUUUGUGGCUCCAGAACUUAUAAGAGGGGAAGAUUACAGUUUCAGUGUGGACUGAUGGAAUCUUGGAGUAUUGAUGUAUCUUAUGAUGAUCAGAGAGUCUCCAUUCCAUCUUGAUGAGAGCUCUGAUAACCCUUAUGAAAACUCAGUCGAGCAUGUCUUGCAAGUAAUUUUGGAAAGAGACAUUGUCAUACCUCGUUUUCUGUCUGUACAAGCUGCAAGUGUCCUAGAGGGCUUUCUGAACAAGGACCCAAAAGAACAACUGGGUUGUCAUCCUCACAGGGGCUUUGCUGAUGUUCAGGAGCAUCCAUUCUUUCAAAAUGUAGACUGGGACAUGAUGGAGCAAAAGCAGGUGGUGCCUCCGUUUAAACCAAGUAUCUCUGAGUGAUUCGGUUUGGACAACUUUGAUCCUGAAUUUACUAAUGAACCUGUCUGGCUCACCCCAGAUGAUAAUGAUGUCAUGAGGGAGGUUGCUGGAUAUGAAUUUGCAGGUUUUGAGUAUACCAAUCAUCUUACAAUGUAUGAAGAAGAAGGUGUCUGAUCUCCAUUUUUCAACUAUGCAUUUUGCUUAUGUUCCCAUUUAAUGCUUGGAAAAACUUGUUACCAGCCUAGAUAGAAUUAACCAUUUCAGAGAUGUCUGGAAAAAAAUAAAAUAAAUAGCAUGUAGCUUAAUCUUUUCAAAUCAA
rnacentral:lncRNA from 1 species